UGGGCUGGCCGCAUGGUCUUUGGUCCACCGACGGGCGGGGAUUUACCCC
rnacentral:sRNA from 12 species